rfam:Stegodyphus mimosarum contig60611, whole genome shotgun sequence.
GCCUUUGUGGUGUAGCGGUCAGCACACUUGAUUCGUAACCGAGAGGUCCGUGGUUCGAUUCCCGGCGAAGGCG